AAUGAGUAAAUAACAAAGAGCAUUUGAUGGAUGCCUUGGCGUUAAGAGGCGAUGAAAGACGUGGUAGGCUGCGAUAAGCUGCGGGGAAUUGUCAGACGAAUUUUGAUCCGCAGAUUUCUGAAUGGGGAAACCCAAUCAAUUUAUUGAUUAUUGUAUACUAAAUUCAUAGGUGUACAAGGCAAACCUAGUGAACUGAAAUAUCUAAGUAGCUAGAGGAAAGGAAAUCAAAAUGAGACUCCGUUAGUAGUGACGAGCGAAUGCGGACCAGGCCAGUGAUUUAUAAUUAAAAAUUAGAAUACUUUGGAAAGAGUAGCCAUAGAUGGUGAUAGCCCAGUAUAAGUAAAAAUGUUAUAGAUCCUUGAGUAGGGCGGGACACGUGAAAUCCUGUUUGAAGAUGGGGGGACCAUCCUCCAAGCCUAAGUACUCCUUAACGACCGAUAGUGAACAAGUACCGUGAGGGAAAGGUGAAAAGAACCCCGGGAGGGGAGUGAAAUAGACCCUGAAAUCAAAUGCUUACAAACAGUUGGAGCCUUAUAUCUAUUUUGAGAGCAAUCUUAAAAUAUGUAUUAGGGUGACAGCGUACCUUUUGCAUAAUGGGUCAGCGAGUUAAUCUAUUAAGCAAGCUUAAGCCGUUAGGUGUAGGCACAGCGAAAGCGAGUCUGAAUAGGGCGUUUAGUUUAAUGGAUUAGACCCGAAACCAAGUGAUCUAACCAUGGCCAGGUUGAAGAUGUAGUAAAGUACAUUGGAGGACCGAACCUGUUACUGUUGCAAUAGUAUUGGAUGAGUUGUGGUUAGGGGUGAAAGGCCAAUCAAACUUGGAAAUAGCUGGUUCUCCGCGAAAUCUAUUGAGGUAGAGCGUUGUACUAUAUACUUUUGGGGGUAGAGCACUGAAUGGACUAGGGAGACUCAUCCUCUUACCAAAUCCAAUCAAACUCCGAAUACCAAUAAGUAGUUAUACAGCAGACACACUAUGGGUGCUAAGUCCGUGGUGGAAAGGGAAACAGCCCAGAUCGCCGUCUAAGGUCCCGAAAUUGUGGCUAAGUGUGGAAGGAAGUGAGAAGACCAAUACAGCUAGUAGGUUGGCUUAGAAGCAGCCAUCCUUUAAAGAAAGCGUAACAGCUCACUUGUCUAAACAAGUCUUCUUGCGCCGAAGAUGUAACGGGGCUCAAGCCAUAUACCGAAGACGCGAAUUCCUAAUGUAAAUUAGGUCUGGUAGCGGAGCGUUUUGUAAGCCUGUGAAGGUGAUCCGUGAGGGUUGCUGGAGGUAUCAAAAGUGAGAAUGCUGACAUGAGUAGCGUGAAAGAGUGUGAAAGCCACUCUCGCCGAAAACCUAAGGUUUCCUGUGUUAAGUCAAUCUGCGCAGGGUUAGUCGGAUCCUAAGGCGAGGCCGUAAAGGAGUAGUCGAUGGAAAUCAGGUUAAUAUUCCUGAACCUUUUAAGCGUGACGGAUUUUGUGUUAGUAUAAGCCUUAUUGGAUUGGCUUAUGCUUUAAAAAAAUCCCAGGAAAUAGCGCUUAAAUUUAUAAGUCCGUACCGUAAACCGACACUGGUAGGUGGGUAGAGUAUACUAAGGCGAUUGAGAAAACGAUGUUGAAGGAACUCGGCAAAUUACACCUGUAACUUAGGGAGAAGGGUGGCCUGUGCGUGGGCAACCAUGUGUAGGUGGCACAAAAUAGGGGGUAGCGACUGUUUACUAAAAACACAGGACUCUGCAAACACGUAAGUGGAAGUAUAGGGUCUGACGCCUGCCCGGUGCUGGAAGGUUAACAUGAGGGGUGCAAGCUCCAAUUCGAAGCCCCAGUAAACGGCGGCCGUAAAACUGACGGUCCUAAGGUAGCGAAAUUCCUUGUCGGGUAAGUUCCGACCCGCACGAAUGGCGUAACGAUUUCCCCACUGUCUCCAACAUCGACUCAGCGAAAUUGAAUUCCCCGUGCUGAUGCGGGGUACCCGCGGGUAGACGAAGAGACCCCGUGCACCUUUACUAUAGCUUUACAUUGAUAUUAGAAAUGUGAUGUGCAGGAUAAGUGGGAAACUUUGAAGCUAGGGCGCCAGCUUUAGUGGAGUUGUCCUUGAGAUACCACUCUUCACAUGUUUGAUAUCUAACUAUGCUCCAUGAACUGGGGUUAGGACAUUGUAUGGUGGGUAGUUUGACUGGGGCGGUCGCCUCCUAAAGAGUAACGGAGGCGUGCGAUGGUAAGCUAGAGCUGGUCAGAAAUCAGCUUUUAUAGUACAAUGGCAUAAGCUUGCCUGACUGCGAGGUCGACAGACCGAGCAGAGACGAAAGUCGGUCAUAGUGAUCCGGUGAUUCCGAGUGGAAGGGUCAUCGCUCAACGGAUAAAAGGUACGCCGGGGAUAACAGGCUUAUGGUGUCUAAGAGUUCAUAUCGACGACACCGUUUGGCACCUCGAUGUCGACUCAUCACAUCCUGGGGCUGAAGUAGGUCCCAAGGGUUCGGCUGUUCGCCGAUUAAAGUGAUACGUGAGUUGGGUUUAGAACGUCGUGAGACAGUUCGGUUUCUAUCUUCCGUGGGCGUUUGGAAAUUUGAGAGGAUCUGACUCUAGUACGAGAGGACCGAGUUGGACAUACCUCUGGUGUACCAGUUGUUGUGCCAACAGCAUAGCUGGGUAGCUAAGUAUGGAUAGGAUAAUUACUGAAAGCAUCUAAGUAAGAAACCUUCCUUGAGAUUAGAUUUCCCCAUUAGGGCCGUGAGAGACUAUCACGUUGAUAGGCUGGGUGUGUAAGUAUGGUAACAUAUGUAGCUAACCAGUACUAAUAGCCCGAUUGAUUUACUUAAUUUGU
rnacentral:rRNA from 1 species